AUCUCCAGCUCCAGCGUCACAGUCAGCAGAGGGUUUGGUCUUCUUCAGUUUCUCCACCACUUCAGCCAGCAUGGUGUUUCUAGCUAAAGCAGGUCUUGGAC